rnacentral:rRNA from 1 species
AUUGAACGCUGGCGGCAGGCCUAACACAUGCAAGUCGAACGAGUGGCGGACGGGUGGGUAAUGUCUGGGCAACUGCCUGAUGGAGGGGGAUAACUACUGGAAACGGUAGCUAAUACCGCAUACCAUCAGAUAGGCCCAGAUGGGAUUAGCGAGUUGGGGGGGUAACGGCUCACAAAGGCGACGAUCCCUAGCUGGUCUGAGAGGAUGACCAGCCACACUGGAACUGAGACACGGGCCAGACUCCUACGGGAGGCAGCAGUGGGGAAUAUUGCACAAUGGGCGCAAGCCUGAUGCAGCCAUGCCGCGUGUGUGAAGAAGGCCUUCGGAUUGUAAAGUACUUUCAGCGGGGAGGCGUUACCCGAAGAAGAAGCACCGGCUAACUCCGUGCCAGCCGCCGCGGUAAUAC